GUGCUCCCUUUGGCAGCACAUAUACCAAAAUUGGAACAAUACAGAGAAAAUUAGCAUGGCCCCUGCACAAGGGUGACAUGCAAAAUCAUGAAGCAUCCCUUAUUUUU